CAAAAACAUAGCUUUUUGAAUUUUUAAAAAGGGGUUUCUGCCCGGUGUAAUAAUUUAUUAACGGCCGCGGUAUUCUGACCGUGCGAAGGUAGCAUAAUCAUUUGUCUUAUAAUUGAAGACUGGAAUGAAGGAGUUUACAAAGAAAGAACUGUCUUUUUUAAGUUUAUAAAAUUUAUUGUUAAAGUGAAGAAACUUUUUUAAGGAAAUUAGACGAGAAGACCCUAUUGAGCUUAAACUAUAUUUUUUUAUAUAUUUUAGUUAACUUUAUUUAUAUAUAAAUUUAUUUAGUUGGAUUGGGGCGAUUAAGGAAAUUUUUAUUUACUUCCUUUUUUUUUUUUACUGUUAAGUUAUUUUUGAUCCAUUUUUAAUGAUUAAAAAAAUAAGUUACCAUAGGGAUAACAGCGUAAUCUUUUUUUAGAGUUCUUAUCAAAAAAAGGGUUUGCGACCUCGAUGUUGGACUAAGGUAUCCUAAAGGUGUAGAASCUUUUGAGGGUAGGUCUGUUCGACCUUUAAA
rnacentral:rRNA from 1 species